UUGACCUCAGAUCAGGUAGGGAUACCGCCUGAACUUAAGCAUAUCAAUAAGGCGAGGAACAGAAACCAACUGGGAUUCCCUCAGUAGUGGCGAACGAAGCGGGAAGAGCUCAAGUUUGAAAUCUGAGGGGCAGCCUUCAGAGUUGUAAGCUGAAGAGGCGUCGACCGACUUGGCCCGAGCCCAAUUCUCUUGGAACAGAGAGUCGUGGAGGGUGAGAACCCCGUCCGUGGCUCGGGAGCCUAGUCCUAGCGUCGUGCCCUCGAAGAGUCGGGUUGUUUGGGAAUGCAGCUCAAAAUGGGUGGUAAAUUUCAUCUAAGGCUAAAUAUUGGCGAGAGACCGAUAGCGAACAAGUAGAGUGAUCGAAAGAUGAAAAGCACUUUGAAAAGAGAGUGAAACAGUACGUGAAAUUGUUGAAAGGGAAGCGUUUGGCAUCAGCCCGUGGCGUCCGUCGAUCAUCUGUGCCUCUGCACGGUGCACUCGGCGGUCGUCGGGCCAACGUCGUCUCCGUCCGCUGGAGAAAGGCCUUGGGAAUGUGGCUCUCUGGAGCGUUAUAGCCCUCGGCGCAAUGCGGCGGAUGGGGUCGAGGUCUGCGGUUCAACCGAGGACGUUGGCUUAAUGG
rnacentral:rRNA from 1 species